GGAUUGGCACUGGAGUGUCCCAUGGAAACCGAACCCAGAACUGCGGCCAGGACUUUCACGGGGGCGGGACAGAGUCUUUCCAAGGCGCAUGCGCUAAGCCUGUUUCUCGGCGCCAUUUUGUCUGGGCUGCUGUGGCCACAGAUCUAUCGCGUUUCAUGUUUGUGGUGAGACGAUAGGGAAGUCCUUCUCCCGUAGAUUCUAUUUAGUGCGGCACCCGUCAGCGGUUCCCUCCAGAACAAGACCUAAUGAAGAUCGGAGGAAUAGCGGGUCUGUUUGAAAGUUGGUCUGAAGAUAACAGGACCUCUCAGGAAGUGUUACUGAGAAAAUAUUGGGAACAUAAGAAAUACUUUGUUCUUAAACUGUUUUCAUGGCUGCAUAGUGUUCUAUAGAAAAGGUCGCUUUAUGAAUGAUAGAAAUAAAAGCAAAUAAGAUGGCUCUAGUAGCGC